rnacentral:rRNA from 1 species
GACGAACGCUGGCGGCGUGCUUAACACAUGCAAGUCGAACGGAGCGAAUGAAAGCUUGCUUUUAUGAGCUUAGUGGCAAACGGGUGAGUAACACGUAGACAACCUGCCGAUCAGAUGGGGACAACAUUCCGAAAGAAUGCUAAUACCGAAUGGUGUGCGGGGGAGGCAUCUCCCCCGCAUGAAAGAUGGCCUAUACAUGUAAGCUAUCACUGAUUGAUGGGUCUGCGUCUGAUUAGCUGGUAGGUAAGGUAACGGCUUACCUAGGCGACGAUCAGUAGCCGGUCUGAGAGGAUGAACGGCCACAUUGGGACUGAGACACGGCCCAGACUCCUACGGGAGGCAGCAGUGGGGAAUCUUCCGCAAUGGGCGCAAGCCUGACGGAGCAACGCCGCGUGAGUGAAGAAGGUCUUCGGAUCGUAAAGCUCUGUUGAAGGGGACGAACGUACGUAAGUUGAAUAAGCUUAUGUAAUGACGGUACCUUUUGAGGAAGCCACGGCUACUCUCU